CUCAGUAAGAUGGUUUCCUUUGAAAGGAGAAUUGUAUGAGUUUUCUGAGAGUGGGCAGGAGAGAUGGUGGCAGAGAAUGAAGAGUUAAUUCAAUGUGUGCCACCCUGCUGACCCUGAAGUUAUGAUAAGUCAUAAAAAGAGAUGACCUGCAGGCAGUUGAAAAAUCCAGAGGUAGAAAUUAUGAGAAAUGUGAGGUAAGGAAUAUAAAUUUAUUGAAAUGAAGUGAUUGAUUGGAUUAAGGAGUAUUAGAUAAUUGGAAAAAAAAUGAAAAUAAAAACAGAGACCGUAGAAUAGAGCUUUGGAGGAAUGGGAGGAAAAAGAAGAUAAUCAAGAGAACCAGAGGAACUUAUUUGUACCAAAAGACCCUUAAAAUGUGAAUGAUCACAUGGAUGUUAUAAAACUAAUACAUUUUAUAUUUUAAAAGCACCUACCAUUUUGAACAAAACACAAUAUUCUGUAAUGAAAAGCACAAAGUAUCAGUAUUAGGAUACUUUGAUUACAUGUAUUAGAAAACCAUACUUAAACCAACUAAAAGAGACAUUUUUUCACAUAACAGAAAGUCCAAAGUUGGGCAGGUUCUUGUGUUGGUUGAUUGGAAUACUCAAAGACUAGAGUAUUAUCAAAGACUAGGAUAUUUUCAUUUUCCACUUUACAUUCUUGGGACUGUCCUUUUGCUUGGGUGUUGGGGCUGUGGCAAGAGACGAAUUUAGGUAUUACAUAGCAACUGUCUCUUCCUGGAGCUCCUUCUAAACAGUAAGAAAAUUUUUCUCUGAACCACCUCCUGCUGGCCAGAACUGGAGCACAUGCUCAUCCUGAACCAAACACCAGCAUGAGGAACGGUGAUGAUAUUAACUGGCUCCAAGACGACUGAUCAUAUGAGGUGGCAUAAUCACUCCCUCAUUGGGCUCCCUAAAAAUCACUCCCUCAGGUGGGCUGAAUAUUAGAGAAUUAUCACAAUGUCCAUUACAAGAAGAAUUUCAGCUGCCAUUUUAAAAUUAACAUGUUAUUUAGAAUAUUACUACCUACAAAUAUUAUACAGUACAAAAUAAGGAUAAAUGGAUAAUCUUUUUUACAAGUUGCUUGACACUGAGUAAUUCACCUACUCUCUUUGGGUUUCAGUUCCCUUUCCCAAAAAAGCAGCAGUUGGAUCAAGUUAACAGUUACUUAACUGUGCUCUGAGAAAUCCAAGAAUUUCCAUGGAGCCCCUUCACAAUUGCUAAUAGAGAAGAAAGAGCCAGCAGAAACUGAAAAUAUAGAGCUGUUAUAAUCUGCCAAGUUUUAUAGGAGAUACUUUAAAAUGCAUGAAUUCUUAUUACAACAAUUGUUAUGAAACAACAGGAAAAUGGGAAGAGGAGAGGUGCAAACCCAGUAUACGGCUCACAGAAGUAAAAACAAAACAUUUCUUAUGUCUUUUUGUCUCAUAUAGUAAUCAAUCUUAAAAGCAUAAUAAAUUAAAAUCAGAGACCUCUAUGUAAUGAUUUUCCACUGAAAAUAUGCUUUUGAUUUUAUAACCCUUUAGCUUUUAAAUAUCCUGAACUUUUAGUACUUUGUCUGUUUUCUAACCAUUUUAUUCAAACCUUUUAGUGCAGCAAAUAAGCAGCACAAGCUUUGAUCUCAUUAAAUUACAACUUACAGUUCCUAGAGUCAUAAAUAUUGUGGGCUUUUUUCCUUUACCCCUCCUUUUCUGGUAUGGGGUAGUCUGUUAAAUAUCACUAUCUCCUUGAGUACUCUGACGUUUACUCAGACAAAUAGCAGAGGUUAUGAAUGCUGUUCACAGAUAGUAUCAGGAAUUCUUCAUGAUUGCCAUAAUGGUGAACCCAACAUUCAGAACUGUAAGAACUAUUUUUAAGGACCUAUCUAACUAAGUUUGGUCUGUUUAACUUUGUUCCACAAAAAAGAGAAUUCCAUCUUACCACAAACCAAUAACCUAACUCUUCUGGACAAAAUCAUAGAAUAGUAUAAAAGAAAAACAAAUUAUCCUUGGGAAAAUUAAUGAUUCUAAGUUUUAAAUAAGUGAUAUAACCAAUGUUACUAGACUUGGUUAGCUUCUGAAAAAGAAAAUCAAAGAAGAAAAAGCUUUUCAUAAAGUUAAAAAAUGAAGACUACAUUAAAAAAUACAAACACAAAAUUACUGUAUCUAGGAUAUCUAAAUAUUAAAAAUUGGCUUUUAAAAUAUAUUUUUUAAUUCUUACCCUUUUAAACAAUUUGGACUUGGAAUUCUCAAAUGUAGUGAAACUCUCACUUUACCUUUCCAUACAAUCUCUCUUCCAAGAACUAACUAGCAGCACGAUCACUGAAUAUAAUGCUUUCCUAGAGUGAUGGGCCACAACUGCAUGACACAUCAUUAUAUUUAGGUAGCCCUGGCCUAAGACUAGGGAAAAAAGGGCAAGCAUGCUCAUAAGCAACACUAUUCCACUCACGCAUACAAAGAGACAUUCUUCACCCUUUUAUAUAAAUCUGCCAAGAAUAUCUCCAUGGAGUUACAUGAACCUGGUGUCCAUUUACAGGUCAAUCUUUAACUAUACAUUAGAAAUAAAAUGAUCUAUUAUACUACAAUGAAACAUUUGUCUUUAAUGAGAAAGAUACAUAAUUUAGUACAGAAAUUUAUGAGGUAUAAUAUUUUCAUAAUAAUGUAAAAGCUAAUUGAAUAAAGGCAUAUGAAUAUCUUAAUAUAAUCAUGAAAUUAAUGAUUAUUUAAUUGCUUAAGUCAUUGAUAAAAACAUCAAGUAAAAAAUAAAUGAACCACAGUGUUGUUUAUGUGAAAUCAUCAUAAGAUUGUGUAUCAAUGAUAUGUUAAUUAAUAAAAUAAAUACAUGAACCAAA